rnacentral:rRNA from 1 species
CCUACGGGAGGCAGCAGUGAGGAAUAUUGGACAAUGGGCGCAAGCCUGAUCCAGCCAUGCCGCGUGCAGGAAGAAGCAUCUAUGGUGUGUAAACUGCUUUUGUACAGGAAGAAACACUCCCUCGUGAGGGAGCUUGACGGUACUGUAAGAAUAAGGACCGGCUAACUCCGUGCCAGCAGCCGCGGUAAUACGGAGGGUCCGAGCGUUAUCCGGAAUCAUUGGGUUUAAAGGGUCCGUAGGCGGUUUAAUAAGUCAGUGGUGAAAUCUGGUCGCUCAACGAUCAAACGGCCAUUGAUACUGUUAGACUUGAAUUAUAAGGAAGUAACUAGAAUAUGUAGUGUAGCGGUGAAAUGCUUAGAUAUUACAUGGAAUACCAAUUGCGAAGGCAGGUUACUACUUAUGGAUUGACGCUGAUGGACGAAAGCGUGGGGAGCGAACAGGAUUAGAUACCCUGGUAGUCCACGCCGUAAACGAUGGAUACUAGCUGUUCGGAGCAAUCUGAGUGGCUAAGCGAAAGUGAUAAGUAUCCCACCUGGGGAGUACGUUCGCAAGAAUGAAACUCAAAUGAAUUGACCGG